rfam:Oesophagostomum dentatum strain OD-Hann O_dentatum-1.0_Cont20589.1, whole genome shotgun sequence.
ACCCUACAUCGGGACUGUUACAGCUGAUAUCAACAACAGGACUGUGGCUAUGGAAGUCGAUACUCGCUAAGGAGUGUGUGGCAACUCACCUGCCAAAUCAACUAGCCCUGAAAAAUAGAUGGCGCUUGA